rnacentral:rRNA from 1 species
CCGUUCUCAGUUCGGAUCGGAGUCUGCAACCCGACUCCGUGAAGCUGGAUUCGCUAGUAAUCGCGCAUCAGCCAUGGCGCGGUGAAUACGUUCCCGGGCCUUGUACACACCGCCCGUCAAGCCAUGGAAGCCGGGGGCGCUUGAAGUGCGUUGCCGCAAGGAGCGCCCUAAGGUAAAACCGGUGACUGGGGCUAAGUCGUAACAAGGUAGC